rnacentral:lncRNA from 1 species
UCCUGCAGUGGAAUGGAAGAAUGAGGUCUUUCGUAAUCCAUUAAUGUGUGCCACUGAUUGCUUUUUUUUUUUUUUUUUUUUUUUUUUUUUUUUGGUUUUUCUCCGGUACCAGGAACCGAACUCACAACCUUGCGCUUGCCAGGCAGGCGCUUUUGCCGCUGAGCUAAAUCCCCAGCCCCGCCACUGAUUGCUUUUGAGAGUUGCAAGACAGGUGGCUUGAGGCCACUCAGCCUCCUGGGGCUCUCAGGUGGAUUCUGGCAGGUCUCUGGGAAAUUGUGGCCCAGCCUCCUGAUUUAUUGAGAUUGCAGCUUGGCUGAUGGCUGGCUGGUGUGUGCUGCAUGCUGAUGAGGUGCUGCUGUCCGCUGCCUGGGCCAGGAAGGCUGCUCUGUUGAUGGAGAAAAGGAAACACCUAGAAGUACCAGCCACCAUGCAAGCAGAGAGGAGAGGGGUCAGCUCUGUAUGCGUGUGUGUGUGUUGAGCGGAUGGAAGAGCCCACAGAAGAGGGACUACUUGAUCCAAAAUAUGAA